rnacentral:rRNA from 1 species
AGAAAUGGACAGCGAGUGGACCCGAAAGGGAAACAGCAACACAGGUGGCUGCAUGGGCUGUGCGUGCAGCUCGUGUGCGUGAGAUGGUGUCGGGUGUAAGUGCCCGCAACGAGCGCAACCCUUGCCAUUAGUUUGCUACAGUUCAGUUGAGCACUCUAAGUGGGACUGCCGGUGACAAACCGGAGGAAGGUGGGGAUGACGGUCAAGUACUCAUGGCCCUUAGUGGGGUAGGGCUACACACGGUCAUACAAUGGCGCGGUACAGAGGGUUGCCAACCCGCGAGGGGGAGCCAAUCCCAGAAAGCGCGUCGUAGUCCGGAUUGGAGUCUGCAACUCGACUCCAUGAAGUCGGAAUCGCUAGUAAUCGCAGAUCAGCAUGCUGCGGUCAAUACGUUCCCGGGCCUUGUACACACCGCCCGUCACACCAUGGGCAGUGGGUUUCACCAGAAGCAGGUAGCCUAACCGCAAGGCAGGGCGCCUACCACGGUGAAAUUCAUGACUGGUGGUGAAGUCGUAACAAGGUUCCGGAAUANGAGNUGGAAUUAAACAAGCAUCACUUCAUAAUCACCC